rnacentral:ribozyme from 1 species
AAUCAAAAAAAAAAAAAAAAAAAAUAAAACAAAAAACCAACCAACCAAAAAACAAACAUGGCCUUCUUCUCCUUUCAUUUUUUCC